GAUGAACGCUGGCGGCGUGCCUAAUACAUGCAAGUCGAGCGAACGGACGCGACGCUUGCUUUUUUGAUGUUAGCGGCGGACGGGUGAGUCACACGUGGAUACCCUACCUAUCAGACUGUGAUAACUUCGGGAAACCGGCGCUUAUACCGGAUAAUCUUUUGAUCCGCAUGGUUCAUAAGUGAAAGACGGUCUUUCUGUCACUUCUCGCUGCUUCCGCGCUGCAUGAGAUAGUUGGUACGUUAACGGCUUACCACGGCGACGAUGCGUAGCCGAACUGUGAGGGUGAUAGGCCACAUGAGAACUGGGCCACGGACAAGAGGCCUAAGGGAGGGAGCAGUAGGGAAUCGGACGCAGUGGGCGAAAGCAUGACGGAGCAAGGCCGAGUGAGAGAUGAAGGUCUUCGGAUCGGAAAACUCUGUUAUUAGGGAAGAACAUAUGUGGAAGGAACUGUGGACAGAGUGACGGUACCGAAUCAGAAAGCAACGGCUAACUACGUG
rnacentral:rRNA from 1 species